GAUGAACGCUGACAGAAUGCUUAACACAUGCAAGUCUUUGGCGAAGCUGUGCUUGCACAGCCUAGCCAAGGCGGACGGGUGAGUAACGCGUAAGGAACUUGCCCUGCAGUCAGGGAUAACAGACGGAAACGACUGAUAAGACCUGGUAAAGUCAGGCGGACUCAUGUCCAGCCUGAUGAAAAGUGAUGCUGCAGGAGAGCCUUGCGUCCUAUUAGCUUGUUGGUGGGGUAACGGCCCACCAAGGCGAUGAUAGGUAGCCGGCCUGAGAGGGUGGACGGCCACAGGGGGACUGAGAUGCGGCCCUUACUCCUACGGGAGGCAGCAGUGGGGAAUAUUGGACAAUGGGGGCAACCCUGAUCCAGCAAUUCUGUGUGCACGAUGAAGGUUUUCGGAGUGUAAAGUGCUUUCAGCAGGGAAGAAAAAAAUGACGGUACCUGCAGAAGAAGCGACGGCUAAAUACGUG
rnacentral:rRNA from 1 species